AACGAACGCUGGCGGCAUGCCUAACACAUGCAAGUCGAACGAGACCUUCGGGUCUAGUGGCGCACGGGUGCGUAACGCGUGGGAACCUGCCCUUAGGUUCGGAAUAACUCCCCGAAAGGGGUGCUAAUACCGGAUAAUGUCUUCGGACCAAAGAUUUAUCGCCUUUGGAUGGGCCCGCGUUGGAUUAGCUAGUUGGUAGGGUAAAAGCCUACCAAGGCGACGAUCCAGAGCUGGUCUGAGAGGAUGAUCAGCCACACUGGGACUGAGACACGGCCCAGACUCCUACGGGAGGCAGCAGUGGGGAAUAUUGAAAAAUGGGCGAAAGGCUAAUCCAGCAAUGCUGCGUGAGUGAUGAAGGCCUUAGGGUUGUAAAGCUCUUUUAACCGGGAUGAUAAUGACAGUACCGGGAGAAUAAGCGCCGGCUAACUCCGUG
rnacentral:rRNA from 1 species